rnacentral:rRNA from 1 species
UAUUCAUCCCGUGCAAUUUCCAUUACACGAACCAUAUUUCGACUUAACACCAAUCAAAGUCAUGCAUACGAAAAUAAUACUUACAUAUUUAUAUACCUGAUUAUAUAUAUUAAUACAUAAGCAAAUCAAACUUAUUGCACAUACUCCUUUCAGCGCCUGACGAGUGGUUAGUACCUAGCUGAGAUUAAAUUCACCGUGACGAUGGUGAUUCACGAUUACUAGUAAUUCCUUAUUCAUGUAGUCGAGUUACAGACUACAAUCCAUAUUAUAUCCAAUUUUGGGGAUUAGCUCCAUUUCACAAUAUCGCAUCCCUUUGUUAAGGCGUAUGUGGCACGUCUAUAGCCCACAGUAUUUAGGCCAUGAUGACUUGUCUUAAUCCCUAUUAUCUGGUCCAAUGUAGUGGCGAACCACUUUAUGUAUUCAAAUAAAGUGAGGGUUUUCGUUAAUUAGAGGAGUUAACCAAAUCUCACGACAUUAACUAAAGACAGCCGUGCAGCGCUUGUAACAAUUUUAUUGUUAUUCAAACUGUGGUAAGGUUUUUCGCGGGUUAUCGAAUUAAAUAACAUACUUCACUACUGGUUUCAGAAACGGUCUAAUGAUUUCAGUUUAUAUGUUGCCAUAUUACUCUUGAGGUGGAAUGCUUACACUUUCAUUUAUAGACUAAAUUUUAAAUCUAGCCUAUGACAUUCAUCAUUUUCUGCUUGGACUACUAGGGUAUCUAAUCCUUAUUGCUACCCAAGCCUUCGUCCCUCAACGUCAGUUUUUACAUAGAAGGAUGCCUUCGCCGUUACCAGUCCUUCUGGUAUCAAAGUAUUUCAUCCCUACUCCAGAAAUUCUUCCUUCUCACAUAAAACUCUAGUAAAAAAGUACUCAUUUAGAGUUUAAUUUACCGUCUAGGUACCCUUUAAACCUAAUAAAGAUGACUAACACUAGUCUUCUACGUAUUACCGCGACUGCUGGCACGUAAUUUGGUCAAGACUUAUAAAUAGGAAAUUGUCAUUAUCAUUAUCCUAUUUAGAAUUUUAUACGAGUUAAUCGUUAUUGUAUUACAAUAAUACACUUACAUUCUUCCAAGUUACUGGUUCAGCCUUUCGGCCAUUGACCAAUAUUCCUCACUGCUGUA